AUAUGAGAUUGUUGUCAGCACUGGAAGUCAGUAUCGGAACCAUCGGAACGCACCCUAUAUAUAAUUUAGAUAGCUGACACCAACUAAAAAAAGUGUGUUCAAAGCACGUUCAAAGAUAUUUCUGAUAUGCACAACUUUACCUCCCAUUCAAUGGUGGCCGCUGCUAUUGUGUUUACAGUCUCGCAAGCAUUUUUGAUCUAAGUAUUUGUACAGGAAACGUCGUAAUGCCGCAGCAUUACUGCAUGCGUAUAUUCAAAUUUCUUCUAGGGAAGAAGCUACUUCUAGAACAGUGGAUCAAUGCCACUAAUAUAAAAGGUCUUCAUUCAACAAAGUACAGCGUUAUCUAUAAUCAACACUUGAUGGACGAUGACUAUGAACAUCGACCAUAUAAGUACAGGGUACGAUUGAAAUAGAUCACAGUGCCUCCAGUUUUCUCUCAUACAGCAAAUUCACCGGAGAAAGAUGUUUCUGGAUUAUCGGACUCUAUAAAAACAUCUCAAGACAAUGACAUAAGAUGCACAAAACAGUUAUUGUAAUUUGCAGCAGAUCAUAAGCAUAAUUGAAAUGCUAUUAGUUCUCAGAAUGAUGUACAAAAUCCAGACACUGGGACACAUAUGGCAGCUUUAUGUGAAAUUCAGCUUAUGAUCAUUGAAACAAUUCAUAACCAAGAUACUGAGCUCCAGGGAUUAUGGAGAUUUCCUAAUACUACAUCCGAAGAAGAAGCAUAAGAAGAGUCGAGGUGAAAUAUGCAGCACAAGCAUUUGGCAGGAUAUUUGCCGCUAAUUCAGCAACUGCAGCUCAUCAUGGAACGAAUACUAAAUAUUUUAUUGUACAUCGAAUCAUUCUCGCAGUAUCUGUAAUGCUCACGAGUAACAAGAACCUCAAAUUUUA